GACGAACGCUGGCGGCGUGCCUAAUACAUGCAAGUCGAACGAACGGAUAAAGAGCUUGCUCUUUUGAAGUUAGUGGCGGACGGGUGAGUAACACAUGGGUAACCUGCCUCACAGCUGGGGAUAACAUCGAGAAAUCGAUGCUAAUACCGAAUGUGCUGAACAUCAUAAGAUGUUCAAGUGAAAGACGGUUUCGGCUGUCACUGUGAGAUGGACCCGCGCUGGAUUAGCUAGUUGGUAAGGUAAUGGCUUACCAAGGCGACGAUCCAUAGCCGACCUGAGAGGGUGAUCGGCCACAUUGGGACUGAGACACGGCCCAAACUCCUACGGGAGGCAGCAGUAGGGAAUCUUCGGCAAUGGACGAAAGUCUGACCGAGCAACGCCGCGUGAGCGAAGAAGGCCUUCGGGUCGUAAAGCUCUGUUGUUAGAGAAGAACAUGGGUGAGAGUAACUGUUCACCCCUUGACGAUAUCUAACCAGAAAGCCACGGCUAACUACGUGCCAGCAGCCGCGGUAAUACGUAGGUGGCAAGCGUUGUCCGGAAUUAUUGGGCGUAAAGCGCGCGCAGGCGGUCUCUUAAGUCUGAUGUGAAAGCCCCCGGCUCAACCGGGGAAGGUCAUUGGAAACUGGGAGACUUGAGGACAGAAGAGGAGAGUGGAAUUCCAAGUGUAGCGGUGAAAUGCGUAGAUAUUUGGAGGAACACCAGUGGCGAAGGCGGCUCUCUGGUCUGUUACUGACGCUGAGGCGCGAAAGCGUGGGGAGCAAACAGG
rnacentral:rRNA from 1 species